rnacentral:rRNA from 1 species
AAUGCCUGCGGGACGCAGCAGUGGGGAAUAUUGCACAAUGGGGGAAACCCUGAUGCAGCGACGCCGCGUGAAGGAAGAAGUAUUUCGGUAUGUAAACUUCUAUCAGCAGGGAAGAAAAUGACGGUACCUGACUAAGAAGCCCCGGCUAACUACGUGCCAGCAGCCGCGGUAAUACGUAGGGGGCAAGCGUUAUCCGGAUUUACUGGGUGUAAAGGGAGCGUAGGCGGUUUAGCAAGUCAGAAGUGAAAGCCCGGGGCUUAACUCCGGGACUGCUUUUGAACCUGUUGA